rnacentral:rRNA from 1 species
CUUCCGUAGGGUAACCUGCGGAAUGGAUCAUUACCUAGAGUUUGUAGACUUCGGUCUGCUACCUCUUACCCAUGUCUUUUGAGUACCUUCGUUUCCUCGGCGGGUCCGCCCGCCGAUUGGACAACAUUCAAACCCUUUGCAGUUGCAAUCAGCGUCUGAAAAAACAUAAUAGUUACAACUUUCAACAACGGAUCUCUUGGUUCUGGCAUCGAUGAAGAACGCAGCGAAAUGCGAUAAGUAGUGUGAAUUGCAGAAUUCAGUGAAUCAUCGAAUCUUUGAACGCACAUUGCGCCCCUUGGUAUUCCAUGGGGCAUGCCUGUUCGAGCGUCAUUUGUACCUUCAAGCUCUGCUUGGUGUUGGGUGUUUGUCUCGCCUCUGCGUGUAGACUCGCCUUAAAACAAUUGGCAGCCGGCGUAUUGAUUUCGGAGCGCAGUACAUCUCGCGCUUUGCACUCAUAACGACGACGUCCAAAAGUACAUUUUUACACUCUUGACCUCGGAUCAGGUAGGGAUACCCGCUGAACUUAAGCAUAUCAAUAAGCGGAGGAA